CAGUAGCCGCGGUAAUACGAAGGGUGCAAGUGUUACUCGGAAUUACUGGGCGUAAAGCGUGCGUAGGUGGUGGUUUAAGUCCGUUGUGAAAGCCCUGGGCUCAACCUGGGAAUUGCAGUGGAUACUGGGUCACUAGAGUGUGGUAGAGGAUAGUGGAAUUUCCGGUGUAGCAGUGAAAUGCGUAGAGAUCGGAAGGAACAUCUGUGGCGAAGGCGACUAUCUGGGCCAACACUGACACUGAGGCACGAAAGCGUGGGGAGCAAACAGGAUUAGAUACCCGAGUAGUCCCUGUCUCUUAUAC
rnacentral:rRNA from 1 species